rnacentral:rRNA from 1 species
CAGCCGCCGCGGGAACACGUAGGGUGCAAGCGUUAUCCGGAAUUAUUGGGCGUAAAGAGCUCGUAGGCGGUUUGUCGCGUCUGCUGUGAAAACUGGAGGCUCAACCUCCAGCCUGCAGUGGGUACGGGCAGACUAGAGUGCGGUAGGGGAGAUUGGAAUUCCUGGUGUAGCGGUGGAAUGCGCAGAUAUCAGGAGGAACACCGAUGGCGAAGGCAGAUCUCUGGGCCGUAACUGACGCUGAGGAGCGAAAGCGUGGGGAGCGAACAGGAUUAGAUACCCCUGUAGUCCCUGUCUCUUAUAC